rnacentral:snRNA from 1 species
AGCUUUGUGCAGUGGCAAUAUCAUAGCCAGUGAGAUUUAUCCAAGGCUCGAUUAUUGCCAAAUGGAAAAAAAGGAAGCUGAAUCCCAGUGAGAGUUGUCUUCUGUAAACAGGUCUACGCAGGGAGCUUUGGGGAAGG